rnacentral:lncRNA from 1 species
UGCCAUAAAUUCUUUGACUAUUUUUGGAAAACUAUGUCCAAAAAGCAACAAAGAAGAUUUGUUCGUGCAGAUAAUUCUCUCUUCCCUCUGUCUUUAUUAAGCAGAUGCAAAGAAAUAAUUAAACAGAUGCUUGAAUCAGGUGCUAAUGUGAAGUCUCCAGGGAGUCAAUAUGCCUUAAAGUAUUUAGUAAAAAAUGAAAGAAAUGCUGAAUUGAUUGAG